rnacentral:rRNA from 1 species
GGUUUGACGGUACCUAUAAAGGAAGCACCGGCUAACUCCGUGCCAGCAGCCGCGGUAAUACGGAGGGUGCAAGCGUUGUUCGGAAUUAUUGGGCGUAAAGCGCGUGUAGGCGGUUUGUUAAGUCUGGUGUGAAAGCCCUGGGCUCAACCUGGGAAGUGCAUUGGAUACUGGCAAACUUGAGUACGGGAGAGGAUAGUGGAAUUUCGAGUGUAGGGGUGAAAUCCGUAGAUAUUCGAAGGAACACCGGUGGCGAAGGCGGCUAUCUGGACCGAUACUGACGCUGAGACGCGAAAGCGUGGGGAGCAAACAGGAUUAGAUACCCUGGUAGUCCACGCCGUAAACGAUGGGUACUAGGUGUCGCGGGUA